CCUGUAAAUCCGCAAUUAGUGCAGUAAGUUAGUCAAAGUGAAGUAAAACGCAAACAAAGUUUCUCAUUCCCGGAAUGCAAUCCAAAGUUUUUAUUUUUUUCAUAUUGGUGUGUCUAAUGCUAGUAUGUUUUGAUGUCUGUGUCGGGCUCAGAUGUGAAUCGGUCCCAGGAUUUAAAUGUCGCGACAACACUUGUGUGGUCAUUCAUAAGUCAGCUACCUGCGACGGUGGAUUGAAUUGUUGCCAGCUCGGUCAUGACUAUUAAUGUAAUUUCUGGCUAUGUAAUGUGCAGAGAUGUGAUUAAAUUUAACAUUCGGUAAUAAAAACGAUUGCAUUCAGUCACUACA